CCUACGGGUGGCAGCAGUGGGGAAUAUUGGACAAUGGGCGAAAGCCUGAUCCAGCCAUGCCGCUUGUGUGAAGAAGGCCUUCGGGUUGUAAAGCACUUUCAGUGGGGAAGAAAGCCUUGGGGCUAAUACCCUCGAGGAAGGACAUCACCCACAGAAGAAGCACCGGCUAACUCCGUGCCAGCAGCCGCGGUAAUACGGAGGGUGCGAGCGUUAAUCGGAAUUACUGGGCGUAAAGCGCGCGUAGGCGGUCUGAUAAGCCGGUUGUGAAAGCCCCGGGCUCAACCUGGGAACGGCAUCCGGAACUGUCAGGCUAGAGUGCAGGAGAGGAAGGUAGAAUUCCCGGUGUAGCGGUGAAAUGCGUAGAGAUCGGGAGGAAUACCAGUGGCGAAGGCGGCCUUCUGGACUGACACUGACGCUGAGGUUCGAAAGCGUGGGUAGCAAACAGGAUUAGAUACCCCUGUAGUC
rnacentral:rRNA from 1 species